AUUGAACGCUGGCGGCAGGCUUAACACAUGCAAGUCGAACGAGUGGCGGACGGGUGAGUCAUGCUUGGGCAUCUAGCUUAUGGAGGGGGAUCACUACGGGCAACGUUUGCUAAUAGCGCGUACCAUAGGAUGAGCGCAAGUGGGAUUAGGUGGUUGGUGAGGUAAAGGCUCACCAAGCCGACGAUGUCUAGCUGGUCUGAGAGGAUGACCGGCCACACUGGGACUGAGACACGGCCCAGACUCCUACGGGAGGCAGCAGUGGGGAAUAUUGCGCAAUGGGGGCAACCUGACGCAGCCAUGCCGCGUGAAUGAAGAAGGCCUUAGGGUUGUAAAGUUCUUUCGGUAGCGAGGCGUUAACUACAGAAGAAGCACCGGCUAACUCCGUGCCAGCAGCCGCGGUAAUUC
rnacentral:rRNA from 1 species